UUCCUUGGUGGCAACCCUCCUACCUCUUCUUCCUUGCGCGUGCGUGCAAGCCCCGGUUUACUCAGCCUCGGAGGUAGAGAGACGGUGGAACUGUGGGCCUGAAGGACCAUACAUAGACGAUAUAUCAGUCUAUAAGCAUUUAGUCUACUGUUCGAGGAAAACAGAUAAGGGUGCAGCUUAAGCGAAAAGAAAAAUGUCUUAUUGCCAGUGUCUAACUAAACCAACAACGGAAUGUGUCUCCGAGACCAUCUAUAUUGGAUGGACACACGCGUACUUAAAACAACCCCGCCUGUGUGCAGAGCUCUUGCUGUAUGACAACGCGUUGCAGGAGUUAUUGCACAUAAGCUUCAGAACAACUUUAUGAGGUAGGUACUAUUAUUUUGUUUGCAGACCGGGAAACCAGGGCUGAGAGACUUUAAGUAAUUUGCCAGGUAGCAAGCAUGCGGAUGAGUCCGCAUCUGUCAGAUUCUGGAGUCCGAGGCAUUCUCCUUGCUGUGCAAUCCAAUGGGAGCACACACAGGAGGCGUGGUUUCCCCGUGUGUGUGUGUGUGUGUGUGUGUGUGUGUGUGUGUGUGUGUGUGUGUGUGUAGUUUACUUGCCUAGUCCUCCCGGUCCUGUUGCAAAGACGCUUUCAUCGAAUCCAGUUUACCUCACCAUUGUACUUGUCCUUACGCAUUCUCUCAGUAUGAGAGAGGUUGAAUGAGCAGUCUAUGGGUGUCACGUAGAGUAAUUAAAAAAAAAGGCCUGUUAAGUGAACUGAAUCUAGUAAAGAUGGGUUUCCAUUGUGUGACACACUGAUAAAGAAAUAAUACCUAGUUGCCACGUAUUGCCUGUGGUAGGCACGGUGCUAAACUAUUUAUGGAUAGAUCCUGUUUAUAUCUCACAACAGCCAUAAGAAGUAGGUAAUAUCCUCAUUUUACACAUGAAACCCAAGACUCAGAUCAAGAAACUUGCCUCAAAGUGUUACAACUAGUAAGUGGAAGCACAGACCUAGGCAAAUCUGUGUACACCUUAAAAACAAGGUGCUAUGAUGCAAGUAAAAUGAUGAUAAACUUGUCAGUAUUUUAACACUUUCCUUAAAAAUUUCUUUCAGUAGUUCAUUUGCUUGGUAGAGUUAUCCUAUGUCCACAGGCUAGUUAAGAUGAAAAAAAAAUUUUAAACUGUGAUUGAUCUGAAAUUAAUAGAUUUUAAGAUUAUUUUUGAUUGAUUACCUUUUUCCUGAUUCCAAAUUAUAAUGAAGUUUCUAAAGAAUCCAACAGUUUAAAUCUGGGGUAUUGCUGUGUUGUUGUUUUCCUUCCAGUUUUUGUUGCAAAACAACUUGUGUUUAAGUAUAUGAAGACAUAUGAAGGUUAAAACAAUGAAUAUAUAAGUGCAGGAAGUAUUAAGAAGUGAGAAAAUGGAAGAAGGCUGGCAUAUUUGCAUUAUCAAGCUCUUGAUUCACUAAAACGGGAGAAAACGAAAUCAAGUAACAUAAUUCCUAUGCCUGAAUAAAAAGCCCAAUUGAAAAAAAUGAAACGUUUUGACCACAAGGGGGUGCAAAUUCCCGAGUUGAAUUUCAAAGGAAAAAAAAGAAAAGAAAAGAAAAGAAAAGGCGUUUAGACUAUAAAAUUCACAGGUAUGCUCAUAUUUUAAGAAAGAAUGAAGACUGUUAAAGAAGAAAGCAUUUUGAACGGUAACUUGAAACCUUAUAUACACUAUUGAAUGUUUUAAAAAAACUUAUUUAGAUGGGUACCUUUUAUUUUCUUGUUGGUCUUAUUUCUCUGAGGGGGAUUUAAUUAAAAAACAACAACAAACCCUUUUAUUUGGGAAAUAAUUUUAAAUUUAAAAAAAGUUGGGAGGAAAUUGCUUCCUCUUAUGCACAGUGCUUCUCUUUUCACAAUUAUGUUCAUAUACAAUUUUUUUUCUGAAACACUUGAGGUUACAUUAUAUACAUCAUGGUCCUUCACUCCUAAAUGCUUGAGAGUGUAUUUCUUAUAAACUUCAUAAAUUUACAUUGAAGUAAUAUUUUAACUACCAUGAUAUUCCAAUUUUGUAGGUUGAUUUUUAUAGCAUUUCCCCCUCCAGCACAGAUUCAGUCUAGGGCUAGGUACUGCAUUUAGUUGUCCUGACUCUUUAACAUCCUUUAUUUUGGAACAUUUUCAUAACCUUUAAAAAAAAAUCUUUACCUUGACAUCUUUGAAGAAUGCAGCUUGUCUCCCCACCCCCAUUUUUAAUAGAACAUUUCUUAUUUUGUUUUUGUCUGAUGUUUCCUCAUGAUCAGAUUGAGGUUAUACAGUUCAACUGGAUUACUAUGCAGAUGAUAUGUGUCCUUCUCCAGGGUAUCACUUCUGGAAGCACAUGAUAUCCAUCUGUCCCUCACUGAUGAUGUUAAUUUUGAUUACAUGAUCUAUAUGUGGCUUGAGUUUUCCACUGUAUAGUUAGGUGUUGUUGUUUUUUUCUUCCUGGCAAUUAAUAAGCAAUUUCUGGGGAGACAUUUGAAGAUAUAUACAGCUCUUCAUCAAAAUUACCAUUUAAGUAUGUAUGUUCUAUCUAUAUUUAUAUGUGUACAUUUUGUAAAUUAUUUCACUGUUCAAAUUGUCCCAGAUUUAGCUAGAGGGAGGACCUUUGGUCUGGCUCCUGUGUCUUUGUGACAUGCCUACAUCAUUUUUUAAAAACACUUCCUAACUUUGUGGUAUAAUAAGAUGUUCCAUAUUUAUCUUAUCCUUACCCUGCCCCACCCUGGAAUUAACUUUUUCUCUAAGGAGUCCUCUUAGUGGAGAACUGUAUUAGAGACCAAGGCUAGGUAUGCUCGUUGAUACUAAGGUAUCUCUGCUUCUUGGACCUUUCAGAGGCAGAGCUAGGAUAUAUAUGAAUACACGAAUAUAUCCGUAUAUGUUAGUGGCAUGGGUUUAAUUUUAAAUUAUUUUUAUUAUAAUUGAAAUGUCAUAGCAGUUUCAUGAAGUUCUGAAUAAAGGCAAUGAAACCAUAGUCCACACAAACAGCUCACAUUUUUCAUUUUCCCUUUUAGUUAAUGUCUGUACAUAUAUUUGUAUAGGGUUUUAGUGCAAAAUUAUUUUGUCUUUUUUCAACUUAACAUGUCAUAAGCAUCUGAGUUACUAUAUCAUUUUUACAACCUUUAUUCCAAA